AUUGAACGCUGGCGGCAGGCCUAACACAUGCAAGUCGAGCGAGCGGCGGACGGGUGAGUAAUGUCUGGGCAACUGCCUGAUGGAGGGGGAUAACUACUGGAAACGGUAGCUAAUACCGCAUACCAUCUGAUGUGCCCAGAUGGGCUUAGCUAGUAGGUGGGGUAAUGGCUCACCUAGGCGACGAUCCCUAGCUGGUCUGAGAGGAUGACCGGCCACAAUGGAACGGGAACACGGGCCAGACUCCUAGGGAGGGCACAAGUGGGGAAGAUUCGACAAUGGGCGCAAUCCUGAGGCAGCCAGGCCGCGUGUAUGAAGAAGGCCUUCGGGUUUUAAAGUACUUUCAGCGGGGAGGCGGUACCCGAAGAAGAAGCACCGGCUAACUCCGUGCCAGCCGCCGCGGUAAUUC
rnacentral:rRNA from 1 species